rnacentral:rRNA from 1 species
UACAGAGGUGGCGAGCGUUAUUCGGAAUUAUUGGGCGUAAAGGGCGCGUAGGCGGCCAAGCAAGUCCUGGGUGAAAUCCCUCGGCUCAACCGAGGAACUGCCUCGGAAACUGCAUGGCUCGAGGCCGGGAGAGGGUAGCGGAAUUCCCAGUGUAGCGGUGAAAUGCGUAGAUAUUGGGAAGAACACCAGUGGCGAAGGCGGCUCACUGGACGACUGUUGACGCUGAGGUACGAAAGCGUGGGGAGCAAACAGG